GGGGAACUGAAACAUCUAAGUACCCUGAGGAAAAGAAAUCAACCGAGAUUCCCUUAGUAGUGGCGAGCGAACGGGGACCAGCCCUUAAGUUGUAUUGAGAUUAGCGGAACUACUGAAACAUCUAAGUACCCUGAGGAAAAGAAAUCAACCGAGAUUCCCUUAGUAGUGGCGAGCGAACGGGGACCAGCCCUUAAGUUGUAUUGAGAUUAGCGGAACACUCUGGAAAGGGUGGCCAUAGUGGGUGAUAGCCCUGUACGCGAAAAUCCCUUUGCAAUGAAAUCGAGUAGGACGGGGCACGAGAAACCUUGUCUGAAUAUGGGGGGUGGCCAUAGUGGGUGAUAGCCCUGUACGCGAAAAUCCCUUUGCAAUGAAAUCGAGUAGGACGGGGCACGAGAAACCUUGUCUGAAUAUGGGGGGACCAUCCUCCAAGGCUAAAUACUACUGACUGACCGAUAGUGAACCAGUACCGUGAGGGAAAGGCGAAAAGAACCGCGGAGAGCGGAGUGAAAUAGAUCCUGAAACCGUAUGCGUACAAGCAGUGGGAGCCCACUUUGUUGGGUGACUGCGUACCUUUUGUAUAAUGGGUCAGCGACUUAUUUUCAGUGGCGAGCUUAACCGAAUAGGGGAGGCGUAGCGAAAGCGAGUCUUAAUAGGGCGUCUAGUCGCUGGGAAUAGACCCGAAUCUUAUUUUCAGUGGCGAGCUUAACCGAAUAGGGGAGGCGUAGCGAAAGCGAGUCUUAAUAGGGCGUCUAGUCGCUGGGAAUAGACCCGAAACCGGGCGAUCUAUCCAUGGGCAGGUUGAAGGUUGGGUAACACUAACUGGAGGACCGAACCGACUACCGUUGAAAAGUUAGCGGAUGACCUGUGGAUCGGAGUGAAAGGCUAAUCAAGCUCGGAGAUAGCUGGUUCUCCUCGAAAGCUAUUUAGGUAGCGCCUCAUGUAUCACUGUAGGGGGUAGAGCACUGUUUCGGCUAGGGGGUCAUCCCGACUUACCAAACCGAUGCAAACUCCGAAUACCUACAAGUGCCGAGCAUGGGAGACACACGGCGGGUGCUAACGUCCGUCGUGAAAAGGGAAACAACCCAGACCGUCAGCUAAGGUCCCAAAGUCAUGGUUAAGUGGGAAACGAUGUGGGAAGGCUUAGACAGCUAGGAGGUUGGCUUAGAAGCAGCCACCCUUUAAAGAAAGCGUAAUAGCUCACUAGUCGAGUCGGCCUGCGCGGAAGAUGUAACGGGGCUCAAACCAUGCACCGAAGCUACGGGUAUCAUCUUAUGAUGAUGCGGUAGAGGAGCGUUCUGUAAGCCUGUGAAGGUGAGUUGAGAAGCUUGCUGGAGGGAUCAGAAGUGCGAAUGCUGCCAUGAGUAACGACAAUGGGUGUGAAAAACUCCCACGCCGAAAGACCAAGGUUUCCUGCGCAACGUUAAUCGACGCAGGGUUAGUCGGUCCCUAAGGCGAGGCUGAAAAGCGUAGUCGAUGGAAAACAGGUUAAUAUUCCUGUACUUCUGGUUAUUGCGAUGGAGGGACGGAGAAGGCUAGGCCAGCCUGGCGUUGGUUGUCCAGGUUUAAGGUGGUAGGCUGAGAUCUUAGGUAAAUCCGGGAUCUUAAGGCCGAGAGCUGAUGACGAGUGUUCUUUUAGAACACGAAGUGGUUGAUGCCAUGCUUCCAAGAAAAGCUUCUAAGCUUCAGGUAACCAGGAACCGUACCCCAAACCGACACAGGUGGUUGGGUAGAGAAUACCAAGGCGCUUGAGAGAACUCGGGUGAAGGAACUAGGCAAAAUGGCACCGUAACUUCGGGAGAAGGUGCGCCGGUGGAGGUGAAGCAUUUACUGCGUAAGCCCCUGCCGGUCGAAGAUACCAGGCCGCUGCGACUGUUUAUUAAAAACACAGCACUCUGCAAACACGAAAGUGGACGUAUAGGGUGUGACGCCUGCCCGGUGCCGGAAGGUUAAUUGAUGGGGUUAGCGCAAGCGAAGCUCUUGAUCGAAGCCCCGGUAAACGGCGGCCGUAACUAUAACGGUCCUAAGGUAGCGAAAUUCCUUGUCGGGUAAGUUCCGACCUGCACGAAUGGCGUAACGAUGGCGGCGCUGUCUCCACCCGAGACUCAGUGAAAUUGAAAUCGCUGUGAAGAUGCAGUGUAUCCGCGGCUAGACGGAAAGACCCCGUGAACCUUUACUAUAGCUUUGCACUGGACUUUGAAUUUGCUUGUGUAGGAUAGGUGGGAGGCUUUGAAGCGUGGACGCCAGUCUGCGUGGAGCCAACCUUGAAAUACCACCCUGGCAACUUUGAGGUUCUAACUCAGGUCCGUUAUCCGGAUCGAGGACAGUGUAUGGUGGGUAGUUUGACUGGGGCGGUCUCCUCCUAAAGAGUAACGGAGGAGUACGAAGGUGCGCUCAGACCGGUCGGAAAUCGGUCGUAGAGUAUAAAGGCAAAAGCGCGCUUGACUGCGAGACAGACACGUCGAGCAGGUACGAAAGUAGGUCUUAGUGAUCCGGUGGUUCUGUAUGGAAGGGCCAUCGCUCAACGGAUAAAAGGUACUCCGGGGAUAACAGGCUGAUACCGCCCAAGAGUUCAUAUCGACGGCGGUGUUUGGCACCUCGAUGUCGGCUCAUCACAUCCUGGGGCUGUCGCUCAACGGAUAAAAGGUACUCCGGGGAUAACAGGCUGAUACCGCCCAAGAGUUCAUAUCGACGGCGGUGUUUGGCACCUCGAUGUCGGCUCAUCACAUCCUGGGGCUGAAGCCGGUCCCAAGGGUAUGGCUGUUCGCCAUUUAAAGUGGNUACCGCCCAAGAGUUCAUAUCGACGGCGGUGUUUGGCACCUCGAUGUCGGCUCAUCACAUCCUGGGGCUGAAGCCGGUCCCAAGGGUAUGGCUGUUCGCCAUUUAAAGUGGUACGCGAGCUGGGUUUAGAACGUCGUGAGACAGUUCGGUCCCUAUCUGCCGUGGACGUUUGAGAUUUGAGAGGGGCUGCUCCUAGUACGAGAGGAC
rnacentral:rRNA from 1 species